UAUGACCAAUAAAUUUCUAUUUGCAAGAUAAAGGGCCUGAGGCCAGAGGCAUCACCAUGCGUGUGCCAUGAGGCUGAAAAGCAGACCCGCCCACGUCACGCCUUCAGAGCCCUAGUGGCCGCACGUCACCAGCACGUUCGGAAGAGCUGGAGGAUCCUCUCAGAACCCUGGGUGAUGUAUGACAAUGUUCAGCAGCAGGGAAAAUAGCAGAGUGCGUUGGCACAUGUCACCAAUACUCCAGUUCUCCUUCUGGUGUGACCACAGAACGAUUUUUAGUGACCAGUGUUUCCAUGCCCAGCUUUUGGUUGCAGCCGGUUUUCCAUGAUGUUUGCGGUCCUUAUUUGACUCUGCAAGGACGGAGAAUACCAACUUGAAGAACACCUGCAGUGUCUGAGACUCAGCAUCUAACUUUUCCAUAUGUUCUUUUUUUUUUUUUUCCAGUUCUCCCACUGUGUACUAACCACAAGUAUGCAGGCCUGAAGACUGAAUACUAAUCAAAAGGCAAAAGUGGGUUGGUUGCGGCUCAAGGCCUUAGUAGGAAAUUCCUCCAGCUGCCAGGGCAUGUGUUGAACACAUGACUCCUGCUGGCAAUGGUUGAUGCUCUACACCAGCUGACUACCAGCAACUUGGAAGUUGGGCUAUUUUCCUUUUUAAUUUCCAUUUAAUUUGCAGUUUUAUCAAAAUGAAAUGUUUACUUCACUUUUAGAAAGCAAACAAUUCUACCAGCCUCUAAGGAAAUCCUCCAUCUCUACCAACCCCUGAUUUAUACUUCUCGGAUUAUCCAUUUACUGACCAGAUUAUCCAUUUAAAAUCUAUUCACUGUUUUUGUCCCCAUGUUUCUAAGUAACCUGCUUCUCUUGUGUUGCUUGCUUUUUCAAAUUUAGAUAGAUGUUUUGAUUUCCCAUUAUAAAACACGCAAACUGCACUUUAUUACCUACUCCUGUAUACACACAUGCACACAUACAUGUAGUAUCAGUUAGUUUUGCUGUGUAACAAAUCAUCCCAAAACAUACUGGCUUAGACCAGCCAUUUAUGUACUCACAAAUCUGUGGAUCAGAAAUUUGAACUGGAUUGGGCAAUCCUGGUCUUGACGGAGCUCAUGUUCAGCUGUAGUUGGUUACUGGAGUUGCUGGGGGCUGGCUAGCUGGAGUGGCCUCAGCUAGAGUGCCUCUGCCACUCUCCAUGCAAACUUCCAUCCUCUAGCGAGUUAUGAUGGACUCGUUCACAUGGUGUUUCUGAGCAUAGCAAUAAAUUUUAUCCUCUUGUUUCUUCUAAAUUCACUUGGUAGCUCUUAAAGGAAGACCUAUUGUUAAUAUCUUUAACAGAGAUCCAUGCUGAUGGCUUGCCAUGGACCUUUUUUUGAAGUUUUAAAAACUAU